rnacentral:rRNA from 1 species
GGGUAACGGCCCACCAGGCGACGAUCAGUAGCCGGACUGAGAGGUUGCCGGCCACAUUGGGACUGAGAUACGGCCCAGACUCCUACGGGAGGCAGCAG